UACGUAGGGGCGCAAGCGUUUGUCCGGAAUUAUUGGGCGUAAAGAGCUCGUAGGCGGCUUGUCACGUCGGGUGUGAAAGCCCGGGGCUUAACCCCCGGGUCUGCAUUCGAUACGGGCUAGCUAGAGUGUGGUAGGGGAGAUCGGAAUUCCUGGUGUAGCGGUGAAAUGCGCAGAUAUCAGGAGGAACACCGGUGGCGAAGGCGGAUCUCUGGGCCAUUACUGACGCCGAGGAGCGAAAGCGUGGGGAGCGAACAGG
rnacentral:rRNA from 1 species